ACCACGCCAACGGUCGGGCUACCAAUGCGUCACGCACCGGGCCUACCGCAGCGCCCCGAACUAUGGUUGCAACAGCACCGGCAACUGCACCAGCAAUAACGCCGUCACCUGUACUGGCAACGGUACAACUACACCCCACACAUACACACCACAUCUUCACACCAUCCAUAUCAUCCACACAUCAUGCUCAAGACAUCUACAUACACCAUAUUCAUCAUCCACACCUCACACUCAACACACCUGCAUCAUAUACACCACACACGAGGACACCGGACACAAUUAACAAAAGGGACGGACGGACGGCGCCCGGCCUCUUUUGUUUUCUAUCCGUGCGCAUACACCCUACAAUAUCGCGAUCGCCGAUCAACAUACUUAUAUUUGGAACGAUGGGUUGGUGGUUUUACCCAGAACAAUAAUGAAAGUUUUAAUCAGCUGAUAUGGAAAAUAACUCCAAAAAUUAUUCCAGCUGGCUCAAAAAUUGUGGAAAUAGCUGCAAACAUUACAGCCGGGUCUUUAAUGAAGAGGACGCAGAGCGCAUCUCAAUUUCGGACGCAAGAGCGUAAGGGUCGACGCUCGAGUGGAGGAUGGCUUGUAGACAACAACAAUUAAACGUUUUGGAGGCAAACGACGAAGCAGGGGUUCCUCUUAUGGUGCUGGAAUAGAUGACACGAUAUAAUUUUGACCAAAGAUAUCUUGCUCACCGCCAGGCACUUUUUUUGGACGUCUCUCCGCAGAUCAUCUACAGGAGCUAGG